UUUUUUUAAAUCUACUUUUGACCCGUUAUAGUAUUUUUUCAUGUAUUGAACAGUUUAUAUUUGUUUUUU
rnacentral:sRNA from 1 species